rnacentral:rRNA from 1 species
AUUGAACGCUGGCGGCAGGCUUAACACAUGCAAGUCGAGCGAGCGGCGGAUGGGUGAGUAAUGUCUGGGAAACUGCCUGAUGGAGGGGGAUAACUACUGGAAACGGUAGCUAAUACCGCAUACCAUCAGAUGUGCCCAGAUGGGAUUAGCUAGUAGGGGGGGUAAUGGCUCACCUAGGCGACGAUCCCUAGCUGGUCUGAGAGGAUGAACAGCCACACUGGCACUGAGACACGGUCCAGACUCCUACGUGAGGCAGCAGUGGGGAAUAUUGCACAAUGGGCGCAAGCCUGAUGCAGCCAUGCCGCGUGUGUGAAGAAGGCCUUCGGGUUGUAAAGCACUUUCAGCGAGGAGGCGUUACUCGCAGAAGAAGCACCGGCUAACUCCGUGCCAGCAGCCGCGGUAAUUC